AUUGAACGCUGGCGGCAUGCUUUACACAUGCAAGUCGAACGGCAGCACGGGUGCUUGCACCUGGUGGCGAGUGGCGGACGGGUGAGUAAUGCAUCGGAACGUGUCCUAAAGUGGGGGAUAACGCAUCGAAAGAUGUGCUAAUACCGCAUAUUCUCUGAGGAGGAAAGUAGGGGAUCGAAAGACCUUAUGCUUUUGGAGCGGCCGAUGUCUGAUUAGCUAGUUGGUAAGGUAAUGGCUUACCAAGGCGACGAUCAGUAGUUGGUCUGAGAGGACGACCAGCCACACUGGGACUGAGACACGGCCCAGACUCCUACGGGAGGCAGCAGUGGGGAAUUUUGGACAAUGGGCGCAAGCCUGAUCCAGCAAUGCCGCGUGAGUGAAGAAGGCC
rnacentral:rRNA from 1 species